rnacentral:rRNA from 1 species
UACGUAGGGGGCAAGCGUUGUCCGGAUUUAUUGGGCGUAAAGAGCGUGUAGGCGGCCAGACAGGUCCGUUGUGAAAACUCGAGGCUCAACCUCGAGAUGUCGAUGGAAACCGUCUGGCUAGAGUCCGGAAGAGGAGUGUGGAAUUCCUGGUGUAGCGGUGAAAUGCGCAGAUAUCAGGAGGAACACCAAUGGCGAAGGCAGCUCGCUGGGACGGUACUGACGCUGAGGCGCGAAAGCUAGGGGAGCGAACGGG